rnacentral:rRNA from 1 species
GACGAACGCUGGCGGCGUGCUUAACACAUGCAAGUCGAACGGAAAGGCCCUGCUUUUGUGGGGUACUCGAGUGGCGAACGGGUGAGUAACACGUGAGUAACCUGCCCUUGACUUUGGGAUAACUUCAGUAAACUGGGGCCAAUACCGGAUAGGAGCUCCUGCUGCAUGGGGGGGGUUGGAAAGUUUCGGCGGUUGGGGAUGGACUCGCGGCUUAUCAGCUUGUUGGUGGGGUAGUGGCUUACCAAGGCUUUGACGGGUAGCCGGCCUGAGAGGGUGACCGGCCACAUUGGGACUGAGAUGAGGCCCAGACUCCUACGGGAGGCAGCAGUGGUGAGUAUUGCACAGUGGGCGGAAGCCUGAUGCAGCAACGACGCGUGCGGGAUGACGGCCUUCGGGUUGUAAACCGCUUUCGCCUGUGACGAAGCGUGAGUGACGGUAAUGGGUAAAGAAGCACCGGCUAACUACGUG